UGCUUGUUAUCCAAAUUGAUAGUUCUAUAUUCAAAAUUCAAAAAGAAUGCCUGGAUAUAGCUCAUUAUAGUUCAAAAUUAUAAAAGAAUGAAUGGACGUAGCUCAUUCUUGAAAAAGAAGAAUGCCCUUUUGUUGGAAUUUCCGCCUUAAUUGCGGUCCAUUCCAGGUCGCCUUAAUUGCGGCACUUUGUCUUGCCUUUAUUAUAGCCACUAACACCUUCAUUGUGUUGGCUUUGAAGGGGUGAAUUUAGUCCCACGUUGCUUAGAGAUAUGGCUUGUGUUAUGUGUUGUUUUUAUAAGUGGGGGGCAAUCCUCAUCUUACUAGCCGGUUUUGUAGGGAUAAGUUAUGCCCAACACAAAUCUUGAGAUGGUAUCAGAGCCUAUACUUGAUCACUUGUUGGGCUUCCCGCAUCGUCCAUGCUUUUGGCUCAUUGAGGGCCGCGUGAGGGGGGUGUUGGAAUUUUUGCCUUAAUUACGGUCCGCUCCUAGUCGCCUUAAUUACGGCACUUUGACUUGCGUCCAUUGCAGCCACUAACACCUUCAUUGUGUUGGCUUUGAAGGGGUGAUUUUAGUCCCACAUUGCUUAGAGAUAUGACCUGUGUUAUUUUUAUAAGUGAGGGGCAAUCCUCAUCUUAAAAACUGGUUUUGUAGGGAUGAGUUAGACCCAACACAAAUUUUGAGACCCUUCAUUUUCUACAUUUAGAUAGAAAAACCGGCAUUGGGCUAUUUAAUUUGUGUUCAACGAAACGAUUGAUUUUAUUUUGUAUUUCAUCUGAUCAAUCUUUUUCCUUGUUUAAAAUUCAGGCAAACAUUGAUAAUAGUGGUACCAUAGACUAUGGUGAAUUCAUAGCAGCUAUGCUUCAUCUAAACAAGGUCCAGAAGGAGGAUCAUCUAUUUGCAGCCUUUAACUACUUUGACAAAGAUGGUAGUGGAUACAUUACGAAGGAUGAACUUCAACAAGCCUGUCAACAGUUUGGCUUACAAGAAGAUCAUCUAGAUGAUAUAAUACGUGAAGCUGAUAAGGAUAAUGACGGACACAUUGACUACAGUGAAUUUGUUGCAAUGAUGCAAGACACUGAUUUUGGCAAAAAGGGGAUACAAACAUCAUGAGAACAAUUUUGGAUGCCUUUAGGCAUUAGUAAACUAUUGAUCUUGCCAAAUGAGGAUUUUACAGAUAACAUUGAGCGAGUUUCUUCUCUUCUAGAGGAUAAGUUGUUUAAGUGAACGCCCUUAGAAGCUGUUUGAGAUUCAGGGAGAGAAAGCAUGAAUGGCCUGCUAAUUGUAGUGUUUAUGUAUUUAGUAUUUACAACUUUUAAAAAUAUAAGUACAGAUUUUCCUUUUGAACCUUUUACCCUCUUUUGGGGUAAACGGAUGGUAGAAUGAUUUCUCAGCAUGUGAUCUAGCACUGUUUUAUCUAGUGUUGAGCAUCAAAAUUGGGAACAAGUUUCUUAUGGAUAUGUUGAAGGACACACAAUUAUGCAGUACGAAUGCUCUUCCAGCCGUGCAUGCGUCGUGUUUUUCUUGGAUGCCUUUCGAUGUUAUUUACAAUCAGUCUCAAACCAUGUGCUCAUGGCGCGAAUAUCAUAUUGUAUCAAUCAUGUACCCUGUUUGCAUUCAUGUAUAGAGUUAAGCCCGUUGUACUUUUUGGUUAGUAUUGUUUCAUUUUAAGUGUAUGCACUCCAAACAAUAUUUUUUGUAAUGUGAUAAUGUAUUAUUUUUGCCAAUGAAUGGAGGUGAUCUGUUUGAUA